UACGGAGGGUGCAAGCGUUAUCCGGAUUCACUGGGUUUAAAGGGUGCGUAGGCGGGCAGGUAAGUCAGUGGUGAAAUCUCCGAGCUUAACUUGGAAACUGCCGUUGAUACUAUCUGCCUUGAAUAUUGUGGAGGUGAGCGGAAUAUGUCAUGUAGCGGUGAAAUGCUUAGAUAUGACAUAGAACACCAAUUGCGAAGGCAGCUCGCUACACAUAUAUUGACUCUGAGGCACGAAAGCGUGGGGAGCAAACAGG
rnacentral:rRNA from 1 species